rnacentral:tRNA from 74 species
UCCACAGUAGCUCAGUGGUAGAGCAAUCGGCUGUUAACCGAUCGGUCGUAGGUUCGAGUCCUACCUGUGGAGCCA